CCCCAGACUCCUACGGGAGGCAGCAGUGGGGAAUAUUGCACAAUGGGGGAAACCCUGAUGCAGCGACGCCGCGUGAGUGAAGAAGUAAUUCGUUAUGUAAAGCUCUAUCAGCAGGAAAGAAAAUGACGGUACCUGAGUAAGAAGCCCCGGCUAACUACGUGCCAGCAGCCGCGGUAAUACGUAGGGGGCAAGCGUUAUCCGGAUUUACUGGGUGUAAAGGGAGCGUAGACGGCGAUGCAAGCCAGAUGUGAAAGCCCGGGGCUCAACCCCGGGACUGCAUUUGGAACUGUGUGGCUGGAGUGUCGGAGAGGCAGGCGGAAUUCCUAGUGUAGCGGUGAAAUACGUAGAUAUCAGGAGGAACACCGGUGGCGAAGGCGGCUUACUGGACCAUAACUGACGUUGAGGCUCGAAAGCGUGGGGAGCGAACAGGAUUAGAUACCCUAGUA
rnacentral:rRNA from 1 species